UUUUUUUUCCAUCUCUUUU
rnacentral:sRNA from 1 species